UACGUAGGCGGAAUGAUAAGUUAGUGGUGAAAGCCCCCGGCUCAACCGGGGAACUGCCAUUAAUACUGUCAUUCUUGAGUAUAGUUGAAGUGGGCGGAAUGUAUCAUGUAGCGGUGAAAUGCUUAGAUAUGAUACAGAACACCGAUAGCGUAGGCAGCUUGCUAAACUAUAACUGACGCUCAGGCACGAAAGCGUGAGGAGCAAACAGGAUUAGAUACCCUGGUAGUCC
rnacentral:rRNA from 1 species